UACGUAGGGUGCGAGCGUUGUCCGGAAUCAUUGGGCGUAAAGCGCGCGUAGGUGGCUUCGUAAGUCCGUUGUGAAAGUCAAAGGCUCAACCUUUGAAAGCCGAUGGAUACUGCGGAGCUAGAGUACGGAAGAGGCGAGUGGAAUUCCUGGUGUAGCGGUGGAAUGCGCAGAUAUCAGGAGGAACACCAAUAGCGAAGGCAGCUCGCUGGGACGUUACUGACACUGAGGCGCGAAAGCGUGGGGAGCGAACAGG
rnacentral:rRNA from 1 species